CCAAUAGCGUAUAUUAAAGUUGUUGCAGUUAAAAAGCUCGUAGUUGAAUUUCGGGAUCAAUGGGUUGGUCAUGCCCUCGGUAUGUACUGAUUUCAUUGGUUCUCACCUUCUAAGGAACCAUGAUGUCAUUUAUUUGAUGUUGUGGGAAAUUAGGACUGUUACCUUGAAAAAAUUAGAGUGUUUAAAGCAGGCUAACGCUUGAAUACAUUAGCAUGGAAUAAUGAAAUAGGACAUCCGAUUCUAUUUUGUUGGUUUCUAGGAUCGAUGUAAUGAUUAAUAGGGAUAGUUGGGGGCAUUAGUAUUCAAUUGUCAGAGGUGAAAUUCUUGGAUUUAUUGAAGACUAACUACUGCGAAAGCAUUUGCCAAGGAUGUUUUCAUUAAUCAAGAACGAAAGUUAGGGGAUCGAAGACGAUCAGAUACCGUCGUAGUCUUAACCAUAAACUAUGCCGACUAGGGAUCGGAUGAUGCUUAUUUUUUAAUGACUCAUUCGGCACCUUACG
rnacentral:rRNA from 1 species